UGAGAGAACGACCAGCCACACUGGGACUGAGAACGGCCCAGACUCCUACGGGAGGCAGCAGUGAGGAAUUUUCCGCAAUGGGCGAAAGCCUGACGGAGCGACGCCGCGUGUGGGAAGAAGGCCUUCGGGUCGUAAACCACUAUCGAGGGGGAAGAUACUGACGGUACCCCUGGAGGAAGCCCCGGCUAACUACGUGCCAGCAGCCGCGGUAAUACGGAGGGUGCAAGCGUUGUUCGGAAUUACUGGGCGUAAAGGGCGCGUAGGUGGUUGUGUAAGUCGGAUGUGAAAUCCCCAGGCUCAACUUGGGAACCGCAUCUGAUACUGCAUGACUAGAGUACUGCAGAGGGAAACGGAAUUCCUGGUGUAGAGGUGAAAUUCGUAGAUAUCAGGAGGAACACCGGUGGCGAAGGCGGUUUCCUGGGCAGAUACUGACACUGAGGCGCGAAAGCGUGGGGAGCAAACAGGAUUAGAUACCCUGGUAGUCCACGCUGUAAACGGUGUGUGCUAGACGUUGGGGAGCCUAGCUCUUCGGUGUCGCCGCUAACGCUUUAAGCACACCGCCUGGGGGAGUACGGCCGCAAGGGUUAAA
rnacentral:rRNA from 1 species